UUGUGUAGUUUGGGUGAUUCCUUCUUUGGUGAAAGAUAUCAUGUUAAGUCGACAUGGUUCCUUUGUAGCCUCUUUGCAUAUUUUGGACAAUUUGGUGAGAACGAAAUCAAAGAGCUUUUGAAAACAAGGAACAAACUGAUCAAAAGAUAAAACUGUUGUUCCUCUGUAAUCUUUUAGCGUGGGUUAGCAUGUACAUAGGUGAAGGCUCAAUGCCUUUGAUUUUAAAGAUUGGGUGGGUCUUGUUGAGUGUAAGGGUGGUUUUUUCUGUCCUCUCUUUUGAGGCCUUCCUUUAGGUGCCCCUUGUAUAUGUCUUGUGUAUUUUGAUAUACUUUUUCGUUUUUAAAUUUAUACAUAACUAUCUUUACCUAUCAGAAAAAAAAAAAAAAAAACAAACUCAUAUAUGGUGUUUCACCAAUAUUUGCAGUUCUACCAGCUACCUACCAAAGAUUAGACUAUGAUAAGUUCUCAGCUAGUUAUGUCCAUAUCUAGUAAGGAUGUGUCUGGUUCAAUGCUAAAGAUAGUAGUUGAUAUAAGAUUUGUGAGUGGCCUGUAAUGGCAGCAAUAAUGGGUAUUUGUGUGGUGAAGGCUGUAGUCAAUUUAGUGCUAAUGAUAAUUCUGAUGAGAUGCAUUAAUUAAGUUAAUGGCAGUUUAGGCUACAAUUCUGGUGACACAGGUGGCUGUGGAGGCAGGUGGUGAUAAUGGUGGUACUGACCGUUAAAAAGGUAGUUCCAAUUAUUGGUGGUGACCAAAAACCUGUUCAGAACAUGUUGUGGGUGAAUGGUAGGGAUGAUUGUCUUUUUUACUUGGUACUUAGUUGAAUUGGCCAUGUAAGCUGAAUUAGUUGACUUUGCCUAUUAAUGGGUGAGUGUAAUUUAGAGUGCUUUUGCUAGUCUGGAGUUCUAACAGGGACAAAGUUCUUUUGCAUCAAAAAAUUGUUGAUAUAAUCACUUUCUGUCAUCAUACUUGACAUCAAUUAACAGAAAGGAGGUCCGAGGAUAAGAAAACCAAGAGGUUCAGUGCUAUUUGAAAAACUUCAGAAGGAUUCAUAUCAUCAUUGGAUCUUUAGGGAGAUUUAGUUCUCCUUUAUAAUACAUUAAGGAUUGGGCAAACCAAAAGUGAGCCUAGUUGCAUGCUUUAAGCACUUUAAAAUUGCCACAUUAUUUGAGAAUGUAUGCCUUGUCAUGUAUCUUCAAUAAUAAUUUAGCUUUAAAUUUCAUUGAAGUUUGUCAAGUGAAAUCAAAAAGGAAACACAACUCUCUAUUCUAUCUUUCAUUUAGAACGCAAGCCCUAAAUAAAUAGGUAAUCUAUACAAGAAGAUAAUUACAAAAGAAAUAACAUGUUCCUAAGGACUAGGAAACCAUGAAACAGAAGGCUAAAAACUAGGUGUUUACACACCUUUAUUUAAAAAAAAAAAUAGAUGAAUACUCUAAUAAAAUAACUGGAUAAUUAGCUAGAGAUUAUCUAGAGUAAUCUCCAACUCCUACUUGCCAACACUCCCCCUCAAGUUGGGGAGUAUGUGUUCAGUAGGCCCAGCUUGCUUGUGAGCUUGUCAAAGUUUUGACAAGGCAGUUCCUUUGUUAGGAUGUCUACUGCUUGUUCCCUUUUAGGCACAUGCUUCACAUUAAGCAUUUCUCCUUCAAUCUUCUCUUUUAUGAAAUGACAAUCUACCUCCACAUGUCUUGUUCUAUUAUGGUGAACUGAAUUGUAUGAGAUGCUUAUGGCUGCUUUAUUGUCACAAUAUAGUAACAUUGGAUUGGUUGUAGUCAUACGUAGUUCUCCAUAAAACCAUCGCUCUAAACUCACUUGGUUAAUUGGGAGGUGGUAUGUACAGAUAAGACCAAAGGGGGGCUAGGCAUUAGAAAGCUAGCCUUGUUGAACAAAGCAUUACUUGGCAAGUGGAUAUGGAGGUAUGCUAGUGACAAAGAUAAUCUUUGGAAACAAGUGAUCAAGGUGAAGUACGAGCAGGAGGAUUUCGGGUGGAGGCCAAAGAAGACUAAGGGGGCGGUGGGAGUUGGGGUUUGGAAGGAGAUUUGGAAAGAAUCAGAAUGGUACUGGAAUAACAUGUUCUUCAAAGUAGGGAAGGGCAACACAAUCAGGUUUUGGACAGAUGUGUGGUGUGCAGAGACAGCGCUGUCCCAUUGUUUUCCUCAUCUCUUUGCUAUGGCGGUACAAAGGAACGCAACGGUUGAGGAAAUGUGGGAUCAAAAUUCGGGUAACGGAAACUGGAAUCUAAAUUUUCUGAGGGACUUCAAUGAUUGGGAGUUGGGGUUGGUUGGAGAUUUUCUUCAGAUUUUGAGGGGCCACAAACCCUCUGGGGUAGAAGACUCAGUCCUGUGGAGUAAAGGAGGAAGGACGCAUUUCAGGGUAAAGGAAGCGUAUAAUUUGCUGGUGAGAUCUGAGGAUACAGGUUUUCCUUCUAGAAGCAUUUGGGUGACAAGGGUGCCAACUAAAGUUUGUUUUUUUGCAUGGGAGGCGACGUGGGGGAGGGUGCUGACUUUGGAUAGACUUCAAAGAAGAGGGUUACAACUUCCAAAUCGCUGCUUUCUAUGUGGUUGUGAGGAAGAAAGUGUAAAUCAUAUACUCAUACACUGUACAGUGGUUAGAGUUUUAUGGGAUAUAGUGUUUGGUUUAGUAGAUGUGAAAUGGGUUUUCCCAAAAACUGUAAAGGAUGUUUUAGUUAGUUGGAGGGGUUCGUUUGUGGGAAAGAAAAGGAAAAAGAUUUGGGAAGCCACUCCGUUGUGUAUUUUUUGGACGGUGUGGAAGGAAAGGAAUAGGAUAGCUUUUAGGGAGGGGGUGUUGAACGUUCAAAAGUUAAAGAAUAUUUUUGUUUGUAACUUGUGGAGUUGGGCCAAACUGUAUGUAGGUGAGGAGACGUUCUCCCUUAUAGGGUUUCUUGAGUGGAUGGCUUCCACUUAAUGGGAGUUGUUUUUGUUUUGUUGUUUUUGAGGCUUAGUUGCCUUGUAUACCCCCUGUAUACUUUGUGGCGUCUUGCCUUUUGAAUGAAUUUCCUUUACUUAUCAAAAAAAAAA
rnacentral:lncRNA from 1 species